CUACUCUACCGCAAUCUCUCGCAAGCCGUCAGACACCCUUUAAACUGACAUUCUCUCUCCUCAGUGAAGUUUGGAUCUUUGACCCUCUUCUCCUUCAAAGUUCAAACUAGAACGCCGCAUCCAACCUGCGAACCGCCGGAUCCGACUGCUCCACCGCGGGCUUCUCUCUUUUCCGACCCUACUUGCCUCGAUUCUUUUUAUCUUCCUUCUCUCGAGCCAUGUCUUUAACCCCUGGUCAUAUUUCUACCUUUGUAUCUUCUUUGAUUUCGUGGGCUGAGAAUGAAGAAGAUAAUUACACUUAAAUCUCGUCUGCCCCCAAACCGCAAACCGAAGAGCUUCCCCAGCACCGUGCAAGGCAGAGGGCCCUGUAACGCGCCGCCACGCUCUCCCCAGACUCAUACGACUUUUAUAGGCCGGCUGGGAUGACCGAUCGAAACGACCAAUUCAUGACUUUUUUUCCAGUCUUUGAUGUUGCAUAUCCAAGUGCGCAAAACCAGUGGACAGCUGGUUAUGGUGUAGAGCCUCAAGCUUGGCCACCAGUUACACAAGCACAGGGACAAUAGUGCCCCUGGCUAUACCCAACAGGCUGCAUACAGUGCAUAUAGUGGUUAUUGAAGCAGCUACGCUAAUCCGCAAAUAGCAACAGCAGCACCACAAACUGCCGCUUAUGGGACUUAUCCUAGUACAUAUCCUGCACAGGCCGGAAGUGCUGACCUGUUGAAAUGACCAGUUCAUGACAAUUUUGUCAGGCUGUUGCAAUGACUUUUUGGAAGAAAUUGCUGACCUUCUGAAUAAAGAUAGAUACAAGUUAGUGAGUUGACAUGUAAAUAUAACUGAUUUAAUGUAAAUAUUCGUAGUAAGUUUAAAGGUCGAGGGGUGAGAGAGGGAGAGAUAGAGGCAGCAUUAUUAUAUGUAUAUAUCAGUAAGAGGCACAGCAUUAAGCUUCUCUAGAACUCAAUUGAAAUCAUUGAAUGACAGAAUUUUCAUAGAUCAUCAAAAAAUCAUUGAAAUCAUUGUAUUUUAAGUUUGGAUGGAGGCCAAUUUUCAUAGGUGUUUUCUUUGCAUUUUUGAGGUCUAAAUGUUUGCUUUGCUUGUUUUUGAACCAUAUUCUUUGUUAACGCAUUACGGUAGACUUCUUUACCUCCAUGGAUGAGCUGCGCGAUUGUGUUUUAGUGUGGAGGAAUAAAGGAGAAAAGGCGCUAAUAAAACAAAGCGCGCGUUUCCAGUCUUCCGGAGCUGCACUGAUCGAGAGAAGGGGACAAAAAGGCACAAAGGGAAUGUGGAAGGCACUGAACCAGCUGCACUGAAUGAGACAAGGGUUUUGGGUUUUCGAGGGGAAAGGCACUGAACCAGCUGCACUGAAUGAGACGAGGGUUUUGGGUUUUGGAGGGUAUUUUGGUGUUUGUAAAUUGUCUUACUUUUCCUGCUUUUAUUAUGGGUUUUUUAUUUUGUUUCAUUUUUAAAUUCAAAUACAAUUAAAAACAAAA